rfam:Schistosoma haematobium scaffold656_21, whole genome shotgun sequence.
AUCCAGCUGACGAGUCCCAAAUAGGACGAAACAUGCAUCCUAGAU